rnacentral:rRNA from 1 species
UGGGGAAUUUUGGACAAUGGGCGAAAGCCUGAUCCAGCAAUGCCGCGUGUGUGAAGAAGGCCUUCGGGUUGUAAAGCACUUUUGUCCGGAAAGAAAUCCUUGGCUCUAAUACAGUCGGGGGAUGACGGUACCGGAAGAAUAAGCACCGGCUAACUACGUGCCAGCAGCCGCGGUAAUACGUAGGGUGCAAGCGUUAAUCGGAAUUACUGGGCGUAAAGCGUGCGCAGGCGGUUUGCUAAGACCGAUGUGAAAUCCCCGGGCUCAACCUGGGAACUGCAUUGGUGACUGGCAGGCUAGAGUAUGGCAGAGGGGGGUAGAAUUCCACGUGUAGCAGUGAAAUGCGUAGAGAUGUGGAGGAAUACCGAUGGCGAAGGCAGCCCCCUGGGCCAAUACUGACGCUCAUGCACGAAAGCGUGGGGAGCAAACAGGAUUAGAUACCCCUGGUAGUCCACGCCCUAAACGAUGUCAACUAGUUGUUGGGGGAUUCAUUUCCUUAGUAACGUAGCUAACGCGUGAAGUUGACCGCCU